ACGGGAGGCAGCAGUGGGGAAUAUUGGGCGAUGGGCGCAAGCCUGACCCAGCAACGCCGCGUGAAGGAAGAAGGCUUUCGGGUUGUAAACUUCUUUUGUCAGGGAAGAGUAGAAGACUGUACCUGGCGAAUAAGCCACGGCUAACUACGUGCCAGCAGCCGCGGUAAUACGUAGGUGGCAAGCGUUGUCCGGAUUUACUGGGUGUAAAGGGCGUAGCCGGGUCGGUAAGUCAGAUGUGAAAUCUACGGGCUUAACUCGUAAACUGCAUUUGAAACUGCUGAUCUUGAGUAUCGGAGAGGCAAUCGGAAUUCCUAGUGUAGCGGUGAAAUGCGUAGAUAUUAGGAGGAACACCAGUGGCGAAGGCGGCUUUCUGGACAGUAACUGACGCUGAGGCGCGAAAGUGUGGGGAGCAAACAGGAUUAGAUACCCUGGUA
rnacentral:rRNA from 1 species